CAUAGAAUACUACGCAUAGGACAACCGGGCAGAGUAAAUAAAGACAGUAUGGUGCAAGGCUCAAAACGUAAAGAGUAAGCAAUAUGACUAAACGAUGUAAAAGAUAGGGUUAAGGAAGACAUCACCGAGCGUGCACCACUGUACCGACUUCGGAUCGAAGUACCCACCUGUAUAAAGCUGAAACGGUCUCACGAAGGCGGAGACGAAGCGACCGGACCUACGAAGGGUCCACCGGGUUAGAGUCUAACCCACAAACACAAUAACACGACCAUUCUCACACAAAUCCCAAAAUCAUAACCCCCCGAAAAUCGGUUUCUCAAACGCAACUACCGAACCAGCCGGAAGUCCCGGAAACCGUACCGAAACUCCACUGUCGCUCACCCGUCGUUUCCGAACCCUCGAGAAGACGCGGGUGACCAGCCAACAAGGCUCAGCGACGCUACAAUUAACCACGAGGCACCGUCGGAUGAAUUCCAAGUCGAAAACACGUUUUAUCGGCGGAUUUCGUCGAAAAACGCUCCGGAAAUGGCGAUUUGAUUUCCGCAAGGGCUUGGGGCCUUGGACGAUCAGUCCAGAAGUUAUCUUAAGCCUUAACCUGCUGCCAACAGCAGCCACGACGAAGCGAAAUGCAAAAGGAUCCCUAAUGGCCCAUGAAAUCACAUUAUUUUAUGUGAUUUCAUGGCUCUAACGGGUCGUACCAGCAAACUAGGGAUCUAUGG
rnacentral:lncRNA from 1 species